GCCCAGACUCCUACGGGAGGCAGCAGUGAGGAAUAUUGGUCAAUGGGCGCAGGCCUGAACCAGCCAAGUCGCGUGAGGGAAGACUGCCCUAUGGGUUGUAAACCUCUUUUAUAAGGGAAGAAUAAUGACUACGUGUAGUCAGAUGCCCGUACCUUAUGAAUAAGCAUCGGCUAACUCCGUGCCAGCAGCCGCGGUAAUACGGAGGAUCCGAGCGUUAUCCGGAUUCAUUGGGUUUAAAGGGUGCGUAGGUUGUUUUAUAAGUUAGCGGUGAAAUACCGAUGCUCAACAUCGGGGCUGCCGCUAAUACUGUAGGACUAGAGAUCGGAUGCAGCAGGCGGAAUGUGUAGUGUAGCGGUGAAAUGCAUAGAUAUUACACAGAACACCGAUUGCGAAGGCAGCUUGCUAGGCCGGAUCUGACACUGAUGCACGAAAGCGUGGGGAUCGAACAGGAUUAGAUACCCGCGUAGG
rnacentral:rRNA from 1 species